rnacentral:lncRNA from 1 species
GCAUGCGCAUUCUGGCUGUUAAACAGAAAGCACAGGCAGAGUUGAGAAGCCAUUGUCCUUAUUUAAGAAAUAUUAAAGAAGAAACACGAUUAGGAAUGAAUUCACAGGUAGACGUGAGAAGGAAGUAACUGUGAAGGCUGGCUUUGAAGUGGGUAAGGGUGCACACCAGGAGUUAAGGGAUUUUUAUAUUGGAAGGGCCACUCCCCCUGAUCCAAAGAAGUUAGGGUCAUCUCUGGCCAUCGACCGGCGCUGACUAGAUAAGAUGGUUUCAAAAGAGCUGACUGCAACAUUAAGCUAAGAAAACUGCGAAAAAGCACAGGACGCAUAAGUAAUUUUCAUAUCAGAGUGGGACUGCUCUGCAACCUCAUGGGUCCUCUUCCACUCUGGAAGGCAAGAGAGGGAGGGCACCUGCAAUCCCUUCAUUUAUAGGAUAAAGAAGACAAAGGAUUUUCGUUAGAAUAUUCUACACCAAAUAAGUCAGAGAUAAGGUUUCAAAGGUGGAGUCUUGCUUCUGAUACCUGUGGCCAGCAGAUUGAUUGACAUCUUGGCAAGUAAUACCCAUCUCAGGUGCUGUGUGGGGUCACGGGAAGAGGGAGAGGAGAGGGGCACUUGCAUGGCACAGCCCAGUCAGCGUGCAAUGCCAGACCUGUCCGCUCAUAUAGCUGCAAUGCACAUAGCUCACACACACAGCCCAUGGAUGGCUUUCGGCAGUCAUCCAGCCUAAAGAAAAAAUAAAAGAGCUGGGAAUGUGGCUCAGUACCAGUGCCCCUUGUACCAAAAAAUAAAUAAAUAAAUACAAAGUGAGCAUUUAAAAUGUU